rnacentral:rRNA from 1 species
CCUGUUUAUCAAAAACAUAACCCUUAGCUAAACAAGUAUUAAGGGCAACGCCUGCCCAGUGAAUAAUUAAACGGCCGCGGUAUCCUAACCGUGCAAAGGUAGCAUAAUCAUUUGUCUAUUAAUUGUAGACCUGUAUGAAAGGCAACAUGAGAGCCUAACUGUCUCUUAUAACAAAUCAAUUAAACUGAUCUUCUAGUACAAAAGCUAGAAUUCCCCCAUAAGACCAGAAGACCCUGUGAAGCUUUAAUUAAACUAUUAAACCCCAUAAUAGCUAAUUUCGGUUGGGGCGACCUUGGAACAAAAGAAAACUUCCAAACAUGCAACUCACUCGCACCAAAGGCUAACAAGCCACAAUAGACCCAGUACAUCUGAUAAAUGAACCAAGUUACUCCAGGGAUAACAGCGCUAUCUUCUUCAAGAGCCCAUAUCAAAAAGAAGGUUUACGACCUCGAUGUUGGAUCAGGACAUCCUAGCAAUGCAACAGUUUCUAAGGGUUCGUUUGUUCAACGAUUAACAGUCCUACGUGAUCUGAGUUCAGACCGGA